rnacentral:rRNA from 1 species
GAUGAACGCUAGCUACAGGCUUAACACAGCAAGUCGUGGGGCAGCGGAUACUAGCUUGCUAAGUAUGCCGGCGACCGGCGCACGGGUGAGUAACGCGUACCGAACCUGCCCAUCACACAGAGAUAGGCUUGCGAGAGCAAGAUUAAUACCUGAUGGUCUCAGUUGUAUGCAUGUAUAAUUGAGUAAAGCCUUCGGGCGGUGAUGGAGGCGGUGCGUCCCAUUAGGAAGUGGCGGGGUAACGGCCCACCAAUCCUUCGAUGGGUAGGGGUUCUGAGAGGAAGGUCCCCCACAUGGAACUGAGAUACGGUCCAAACUCCUACGGGAGGCAGCAGUGAGGAAUAUUGGUCAAUGGGCGAGAGCCUGAACCAGCCAAGUAGCGUGCGGGAUGAAGGCCCUUGUGGUCGUAAACCGCUUUUAUCAGUGAAUAAAGUGCAUCACGUGUGGUGUCAUUGCAGGUAGCUGAAGAAAAAGGACCGGCUAAUUCCGUGCCAGCAGCCGCGGUAAUACGGAAGGUCCGGGCGUUAUCCGGAAUUAUUGGGUUUAAAGGGAGCGCAGGCGGGAGUAUAAGUCAGCUGUUAAAUAUCAGAGCCCAACUCUGUUAUGCAGUUGAAACUAUAUUUCUUGAGUACGCACAGGGAUGGCGGAAUUCAGGGUGUAGCGGUGAAAUGCUUAGAUAUCCUGAAGAACUCCGAUCGCGAAGGCAGCCAUCCGGAGCGUAACUGACGCUGAGGCUCGAAGGUGCGGGUAUCGAACAGG